UAAGACAGAGGGUGCAAACGUUGUUCGGAAUUACUGGGCGUAAAGCGCGUGUAGGCGGUCUCGCAAGUCGGGUGUGAAAGCCCAGGGCUCAACCCUGGAAGUGCAUUCGAUACUGCGAGGCUAGAGUCCCGGAGAGGAUGGUGGAACUCUCGGUGUAGAGGUGAAAUUCGUAGAUAUCGAGAAGAACACCGGUGGCGAAGGCGGCCAUCUGGACGGUGACUGACGCUGAGACGCGAAAGCGUGGGGAGCAAACAGGAUUAGAUACCCUGGUAGUCCACGCCGUAAACGAUGGGUGCUAGGUGUCACGGGUAUUGACCCCUGUGGUGCCGAAGCUAACGCAUUAAGCACCCCGCCUGGGAAGUACGGCCGCAAGGCUA
rnacentral:rRNA from 1 species